rnacentral:lncRNA from 1 species
CAGAAGGGAAUCAUUUCAUGCCUCCAAACCUUCUUCAGUCUCAGUUGGACUCACUUCAGCUUGAUCCUUCAGAAGGCAUACUCAAGGUUGAUGCUACUCAAAGUCCUGACGAUACUGUCAAUGGCAUACAAGCUCUGAUCUUCUGAUCGUCAAUUCCUCAGACAAAAAUUAGGUAUUCAAGACCUUAUCUAGUUGAGAUGAAAAGGAGUUUUAUUUUAUUUUAUUUUUUAUUUUUAUUUAAUCUAAUUCAAGUUGAAGAUGGCUCCAUCAAACAUGACUGAUUGGUUUCAAAGUCUCACCAGAUUCAUUUCCAUGUUUUUUUCGUCACUAGGUGUAAUUGAACCCGAGCAUUUGCCUUAUGAAUAUACAGACAGGAAGUGAAAAGGAAUCCAUAGGAAUGACACAGACUCAAAUGACAACAAUGGCAGGAAUCUAAAAUUGGUGAAAAAUAGAUUUUAUUUUGUAACUGAACAUCACUUCUUGAAAGUGCAAUGCCAUAGAUCUUGAUAAUUUUUGUUGGAUAUGAAUAAAAAUGUUUCUACUCGUGCUUGCCUUGGUUGUAAGGUGCUAAAAAAAUUAUGGUUCGGGAUUUAAAUAAGUCAAGAUCAAGAUAACAACAGCUUAUCAAAAGAAUGAACAUACCUAAAGGAUUUAUGCAGGUUUAGUAAAAGCUGCAUAUGCACAUCCUAUGCAGGUUAUGGUAGCAAAGAGGAGAAAUGGAAAAAAAAAGAGGCAAAAUAUGGUUUAAUUUUUUAGUUUCUUAUCAUUGUGGUUUUUGAGGAUACUAAUCGAUUGUCUAGUAUAAAGCCUAUUAUCACCCCUUGUGCAUGAGUGCUUAAGAAAAGCCAAAGUCAGUGACACUAUGUUUUAUUAUGCAAGCUACAUUGAGGGUGUCUUUUGGUAUGAGCCUAUCCUCACAUCCCAUGCAUAGAGGCCUAAGUUUAGGAGACUAUUGUCACAAGAUGAUUCAAAUGAGCCUCCCCAUGGGCUUAUAUAGAGCCAGGAAGCUUCUGGAGACUCCUAGAGUGGGAAGAGAGUGUGGAAGGUUCUAGAGAUGCCUGGAGGAAUCCACACAACUCUACACUAUGGUGGAAGACAUGAGAGGAGUCCACAGCCUUCUAAAGAAUUCCAGAGGUCUCUUGUAUAUUUUUGUACAUAGGCUUGUACCUAAAAUGAUGUUGGACAUUCUAGAAUAUACUUGAAUUGGAAGGAACCCUCCAAGGUUCCAGAGAGUUCCAUUGGUGCCUAUAAAUAGGUGAGGGCCUCAUUUGGCCAAGGCACCAAGCAAGUGAGUCUUCAAAACACUUGUAAAGGCUUCCUUGAGUAAUAAGAGCUUCCAUUCUCUAAGAGUUGCCUACUAAGCUUCUUAAGCUUUCGAGUUGUGAGCAUCUUAGCCUAGCAAGCUAAGCAUUGGGAGCAAGGCUGACUUAGCAAGAUCAAGUGUCUUGACUUGCCUAAGUGUCGCACGAGCUUAGUGAACGACUAAGUCCGUGACACUAUGCUUUGAUUGUCAUGGCUUGUUCUUGGGUGCUUAGGAGAAACAAAUUACGCAACACUAUGCUCCGGUAUGCAAGCUACAUUGAGAGGGUCUUUAUCAAGUUUAAAACUUGUCUAGUAUGGGUCUAUUGUCAUGCCCUAUCCAUGGGUGCUUAGGAGAAGUCUUAAGUUUGGGACACUGAUUGUCAUGCCUUGUGCUUGGGUGCUUAGUGAGAAACCUAAGUAUGCGACACCAUACUUUGAUAUGCAAGCUACAUUGAGGGUGUCUUUCUCAAGUUUAAAACUCGGCUAGUACAAGUCUAUUGUCAUGCUUUAUGGGUGCUCGGGAGAGGCCUAAGUUUCAUUUUGUCCAGCAUGAAGUUACUGUCAUGCCUUGUGGAUGGGUGUUUAGGAGAGGCCUAAGCUUGAGACGCCAUAAUCUCAGUUAUGCUGGUUUUAGGAAAGUAUUAAGAAAAAAAAAAUUAAGAAAAUGAUUUUCUCGUAUUCGGUUUUAUUAAGGAAAAUAUUUAAAAAAAAAAACAAAUAUAAUUCAAAAUGAUUAGAAAUUUAUGUAUUUUCAAAUUAUUUAAUCAUUAUAUAAAAAUUAAAAUAAAUAAAAUGAGUUGACAUAAAAAAAAUUUAUUGAUAUUAAAUAUAUUUUUUAUUUUCCUUCGUUAUAUCUUUCCUUCUACUUUCUUCUUUGUUUUCUUUCUUUUGUAUUUUUCAGCAAAUUUUCUAGGAAUCAAACAUUACCUUAAGAAAUAGAGAAACAAUUGUAAAAAUAUUUUUCUCCUCAUUUUUUUUUUCUACUUUCAUAAAAGUGAGGAAUUUUUUUUUAAAUAGAAAAACAAACAAGAAACAACUUUUAUAAUUUUUUCAUAUUUCUUUAUUUCCUUAUAUUUUUCUUCUAUUUUCUUUUCUUGAACCUUUUGGGAACUAAAUAUAUAUUAAAAAAUGAAGUAUAAUAUAAAUAAAAUAUAUAAAAAACAUAAUACAUAAAAAAGAUAAUUAUAAAUAUUUUUCAAUAUUAGCACAAUUUCUUUGGAAAAUUACUAAUUUACUAUUAUGUACAUAUUUUUUAAAAUCUUUACUAAUUUAUUAUGUACAUAUAUGAAUAAGAAAAUAACUUAAUUUUAUUUAAUAAUUUAAUUGUAUUUAAUAAUUUAAUUGUAUUUAAUAAUUUAAUUGUACUUGACCUUAACUAAAAUUGCACUAGGGUAAAAUCAAAGAAUCAUUCACAUUAUCAUUUUUCCACUACAAGAAUAAAAUAUUUGUUAGAGUUGUUCAUUAUACAUUUUUUUUAUUGCAAAUUAAAUCAUAAUUAUGAAAUUUCAAAAAAUUAAUUAGUUUUAUUUCAAAAUUUAAUUAAUUUUAUUUAUUACCUAAUAUUAUAUAUAAAAAAACUCUAAUUCUAUGUUUGAUUCCUGGAAGUAGUAAGAAAAGAAGAAAAAAAUCAUAAAGAAAAUAGUUUUCUCGUGUUUGGUUUCAUUAAAAAAAUAUGAAAGAAAAUCAAAUAUAAUUAAAAUUAAUUAAAAUUUUAUGAAUUUGAAAAUUAUUUUAUUUUUAUAUAAUAGAGAAAAAUAAGUGAAAUGGGUUUGAAAAAACAUUUUAAAAUAAUUCAUUAACUUUGAAUCUACUUUUUAUUUUCCUUCUACUUUUUCUUUUCAUAGUCUAUUAAUUUUUACUAAUUUAUUAUGCACUUCCUAAACUAUUAUUUUUAUUUAAACAUUAUUACUGAACUAUUUCUUUAAUUAAAACAAAAUUUCUAAGCUAUCAAACGCUCAAUUUCACAUACACCCAAUAAAUAUAUAUAAAAAAAAUAUUUAUAGAUACCAAUAAAAAUGAAACUAAAUAAAAGUAGGAAAAUAAAAUAAGUACCCAAACAAAAGCUUACAAUAAGCUCAAUGCCUCACUUACACCUUCAGUGAGCCUCCUUUUCUUUCAUAAAAUUUGGUUCUCCACGUGUCAUAAAUUUACGCUCACCCAAUGCAAUACCAAUAACAGAAUAGGGUCAUGCAAAACAAAAGGGAGUCCAAAGUAAAUAUGCAUAGCCUAAAAUAAUUCAAGCCCAAAUGUAAUAAACCCAAAAACAUCCUUCAAAUUGAUCUAACAAAUUUCACUACUAAAAAAAAUGGACCCAAAAUUAGCGACAAAAAUAUCUCACAUCCCAUAAACCUUAAUCCAAGAUUCCGAAUUAAUCAGCAAAAUACAAGUACAAUUAACCAAGCCCAAAAUAUGACAAAACAAGAUAAAUUCAAUUAGACCUAAAUUUAAUAUCUCAUAAUUCAAGUCUAAUUUAAUAUACAAAUCGAAUCCUAAACCAAAAUCAAGCUCAAUUUAAUAAAUGUAUAACUAAACAAGUUAAGCAAGCCCAAAUUUCCCAAACCACUACCUAGAAAUCAAAUAAUAAUAAUAAUAAUAACAACAAAAGAAAAUAAAAUAAAAUAAAAUGAAAAUAAAAAUUUUACCUCACGCUUGAAGCCUAAAGUGGAGAAGAAGGUUGUGCAGCAAGAUGCACUGGGUUUGGGUGUCGCGGGUAAAUAGAGUGUGGGAAGAGGGUCUGAUGGUGAGGUCGUGUGAGUGUGUGUGUGGGGAGAAGAAAUAAAGGAAAGUAAGAGAGAAAAUGGGGAAGAAAGAGAGAAGGGAGAAGGAAGGGCUGUGUCUCUGUGAGUGGCCAUGUGUGGUGAGGGGGAGAGUGAAGAAAAAAUGGAAUGAAAAAAUGAGAGAAAAAAGGAGAAAAGAAAAUGGAAAGGGAAAGAAGAGGAGAGAGAGUGGGGGGAGUGUGGGCAGAGAUAAAAAGGAGGAAAGAAAAAAAAAAAAAUAAAGAAAAAAU